rnacentral:rRNA from 1 species
GAUGAACGCUGGCGGCGUGCCUAAUACAUGCAAGUCGAGCGAAUGGAUUAAGAGCUUGCUCUUAUGAAGUUAGUGGCGGACGGGUGAGUAACACGUGGGUAACCUGCCCAUAAGACUGGGAUAACUCCGGGAAACCGGGGCUAAUACCGGAUAACAUUUUGAACCGCAUGGUUCGAAAUUGAAAGGCGGCUUCGGCUGCCACUUAUGGAUGGACCCGCGUCGCAUUAGCUAGUUGGUGAGGUAACGGCUCACCAAGGCAACGAUGCGUAGCCGACGUGAGAGGGUGAUCGGCCAAACUGGGACUGAGAAACGGCCCAGACUCCUACGGGAGGCAGCAGUAGGAAAUCUUCCGCAAUGGACGAAAGUCUGACGGAGCAACGCCGCGUGAGUGACGAAUGCUUUCGGGUCGUAAAACUCUGUUGUUAGGGAAGAACAAGUGCUAGUUGAAUAAGCUGGCACCUUGACGGUACCUAACCAGAAAGCCACGGCUAACUACGUGCCAGCCGCCGCCGUAA